GGGCUGAUUAGUUCUGCUGGCUCAGAGCAUCCCGGUUAUUCCGGGAGGGUCGGCGGUUCGAAUCCGUCAUCGCCCA
rnacentral:tRNA from 1 species